UACGUAGGCAGCAAGCGUUGUUCGGAGUUACUGGGCGUAAAGGGUGUGUAGGCGGUUGCUUAAGUUUGGUGUGAAAUCCCCCGGCUUAACUGGGAGGGUGCGCCGAAUACUGAGUGACUAGAGUGCGGGAGAGGAGAGUGGAAUUCCUGGUGUAGCGGUGAAAUGCGUAGAUAUCAGGAGGAACACCGGUGGUGUAGACGGCUCUCUGGACCGUAACUGACGCUGAGACACGAAAGCGUGGGUAGCAAACAGG
rnacentral:rRNA from 1 species